rnacentral:lncRNA from 1 species
GUAAGAGCACCCGACUGCUCUUUCGAAGGUCCGAAGUUCAAAUCCCAGCAACCACAUGGUGGCUCACAACCACCCGUAAUGAGAUCUGAUGCCCUCUUCUGGUGCGUCUGAAGACAGCUACAGUGUACUUACAUAUAUAAUAAAUAAAUAAAUCUUAAAAAAAAAAAAAAAAAAAAAAAAGAACUAGAAGCUCAGAAAGAUGGCUCAGCAAUAAGAGCACUUGAAACUCUUGCGGAGGAUCCAGAUUCAAUUCCCAGCACCCACAUGGUGCUCAUAACCAUCUAUAUCCUGUUCCAGGGCAUUCGAAUCCCUCUUCAGACUUCUGCGGUCACCGUCCACACUCCUAGCACACACACACACAUACAUACAUACAUACAUACAUACAUACAUACAUUAAGGCAAAAAAAAAAAGAGUAAUUUUUUAAACAAUUUUUACAGGACAACUUAGUGUUAGUUUUUACCUUCACUAAUUUCUGUUUCUAAGAUACUUCCACAGGGAUAUGACAACAAAGUCUGAAAGGUCAUGUGCAUGACCCCAAACCAAAACUUGAGCACAUGUUAAUGAGGGCCCCGGUAUUAAUCUUCUACGAUGUCUUGUCAAGGUGUGUCACACUUUUUCUGUGCACUAGAACUGCUUCUAACUUCAUGCUGUUUUUGCACGGCGCUAUAAAGUUUCACUCCAACCUAUUCCUGUUAUUUCCUAUGAGCUUUGUGAGUUGUGUAGCUGUUUUCCCUUCAUCCUUCUCCCAUCCUCUCCCCACUUAGAGUCUUCCUAUCAAUGAUUAUUGACUCAGCAGACAUCACCUUCAGGCUAACCUUUGUCAGCCCUCUUAACAAUCUUUUUUUUUUUCUCCCAGUACAUCCCAGGUUUUUUGAAAUGCCAUCAAUGAACCUUGAUUUGAAAAAGACCCACUAUCUAAGAAAUAUUUUUAAGUUGUUUUAAACUAAGUCUUGGUAACCUGGUAUUUCUAGGGUUGUUCUAUGCCUGAAACAUAAUUUAAAUAUGGAAAUUAAUUGAAAAUAUAAAGGCUUUUUUUUAGUAUUGGUGUAGUACUUUUUUGAGAUGCACUUUUGCUUUGUUAGCCCAUGCUGACAUAGAAUUCAAAUUCCUCAUGCUUCUGCCUUCUAGGGACUGGAAUUACAAGCAGGUGUCACUAUAUACAGCUAUACUUUACCCACAAACCCCUGAACAUUGAAGUUACAAAUAGGAUAAAAGCUAACCUUAAAAUUGAUAUACAGGGUAAUAAAAUCUGGGCCACUAACUAGGCAGAGGUGGUACACACUUUAAUCCUAGCACUCAGGAGCCAGAGGUAGACAGAUUUCUAAGCUCAAGGACAGCCUGGUCUAGAGAAUGAGUUCCAGAACAACCCGGCUACAUGAGGAAAUCCUAUCUUGGAAAUAAAUAAAUAAG